rnacentral:lncRNA from 1 species
UUUCUGGAAAAUAAAGAUGGAUUGAAUUACUUCAAAGUAAAUGACAAUGGUGUAAAUCGAACUUACAUUUCUCAAUUUACUAUUUCUCUACACGCGGAUACUUUGUAAAUUUUACAGAUUUUAUACACACUUUAAACACACCCUGAUCCUAGCACUAAGACCUUUUAUUUAUACUAAUCGAAAUAACCUCUUCUAACGGCC